rnacentral:rRNA from 1 species
CGGCUACCACAUCUAAGGAAGGCAGCAGGCGCGUAAAUUACCCAAUCCUGACUCAGGGAGGUAGUGACAAGAAAUAGCAAACCGGGGACCUCACGGUCUCACGGUAUUGCAAUGAGAACAAGUUAAAACUCUUAGCGAGGAACAAGUGGAGGACAAGUCUGGUGCCAGCACCCGCGGUAAUUCCAGCUCCACUAGCGUAUACUAAAGUUGUUGCAGUUAAAAAGCUCGUAGUUGAAUUUCUGCAUGGGGCUAGUUUUGACUUCUGUCUGGCUAGUUCCAUGCAUCCGCUUGCAAGACCUGGAGGGCAUUCACUUGUCGCCAGGAGGAGUAGGCUUUUUACUUUGAAAAAAUUAGAGUGUUUAAGGCAGGCAAUCGCCCGCAUAUAUUAGCAUGGAAUAAUAGAAUAGGACACUUUUCCAUUUCGUUGGUUAUUGGAAUCGUGUAAUGAUUAAUAGGGACAGUUGUGGGCAUUUGUAUUUAAUUGUCAGAGGUGAAAUUCUUGGAUUUAUUAAAGACAAACUAACGCGAAAGCAUUUGCCAAGGAUGUUUUCAUUAAUCAAGAACGAAAGUUAGGGGAUCAAAGACGAUCAGAUACCGUCCUAGUCUUAACUAUAAACUAUUCCGACUCAAUGUUUGACUGGCCCCUUUAACCAGUUGAGCGUUGUAUGAGAAAUCAAAGUCUUUAGGUUCUGGGGGGAGUAUGGUUGCAAAGCUGAAACUUAAAGGAAUUGACGGAAGAGCACAACCAGGAGUGGAUUCUGCGGCUUAAUUUGACUCAACACGGGGAAACUUACCAGGUUAAAACAAUAGUGGGAUUGACAGCUUGAGAGCGCUUUCUUGAUUGGUUGGGUGGUGGUGCAUGGCCGUUCUUAGUUGGUGGAGUGAUUUGUCUGCUUAAUUGCGUUAACGAACGAGACCUUAACCUGCUUACUAGACUGGCGAUGCACAAUCGUCAGCUCUUCUUAGAGGGACUUUGGUUGUUUUAACUCCAAGGAAGUUUAAGGCAAUAACAGGUCUGUGAUGCCCUUAGAUAUCCUGGGCCGCACGCGUCAUACAAUGACUAGUUCAGAAAGUUUCAUCCUGACCCGGAAGGGGCUGGGUAAUCUUGUCAGUACUAGUCGUAUUAGGGAUAGAUCUUUGCAAUUAUAGAUCUUGAACGAGGAAUUCCUAGUAAGUGCGGUUCAUCAGACCGUACUGAUUACGUCCCUGCUCUUUGUACACACCGCCCGUCGCUUCUACCGAGUGAGUGGUCCGGUGAGAUACUUGGAUCAAGCGGGUUUACCCGAUUUGAGAAGAUUAUCAAACCUAUCCACUUCGAGGAAGAAGAAGUCGUAACAAGGUU